rnacentral:rRNA from 1 species
GACGAACGCUGGCGGCGUGCUUAACACAUGCAAGUCGAACGGAAAGCCCCUUUGGGGGUCCUCGAGUGGCGAACGGGUGAGUAACACGUGAGUAACCUGCCCUUGACUUCGGGAUAACUUCAGGAAACUGGGGCUAAUACCGGAUAGGAAUCCUUGCUGCAUGGUGGGGGUUGGAAAGCUUCGGCGGUUUUGGAUGGACUCGCGGCUUAUCAGCUUGUUGGUGGGGUAGUGGCUUACCAAGGCUUUGACGGGUAGCCGGCCUGAGAGGGCGACCGGCCACAUUGGGACUGAGAUACGGCCCAGACUCCUACGGGAGGCAGCAGUGGGGAAUAUUGCACAAUGGGCGGAAGCCUGAUGCAGCAACGCCGCGUGCGGGAUGACGGCCUUCGGGUUGUAAACCGCUUUCAGCAGGGGCGAAGCUUGUGGUGACGGUACCUGCAGAAGAAGCACCGGCUAACUACGUG